rfam:Eutrema salsugineum unplaced genomic scaffold scaffold_3, whole genome shotgun sequence.
AAACCAUGAUGAGAGCAGUAUCUCUCAUAGUCUUUAAAUCGCUCACAGACUUCAUAGAAUGAUUCUAUUGGGCCUUGUAGGAAACUUUUUAUCUUAUUCUCAGCU